rnacentral:rRNA from 2 species
GACUCUCGGCAACGGAUAUCUCGGCUCUUGCAUCGAUGACGAACGUAGCGAAAUGCGAUACCUGGUGUGAAUUGCAGAAUCCCGCAAACCAUCGAGUCUUUGAACGCAAGUUGUACCCGAGGCCACUCGGCCGAGGGCACGCCUGCCUGGGCGUCA